UACGUAGGGUGCAAGCGUUGUCCGGGAUUAUUGGGCGUAAAGAGCUCGUAGGCGGUGUGUCACGUCGGCCGUGAAAACCUGCAGCUUAACUGUGGGCGUGCGGUCGAUACGGGCAUCACUGGAGUUCGGCAGGGGAGACUGGAAUUCCUGGUGUAGCGGUGAAAUGCGCAGAUAUCAGGAGGAACACCGGUGGCGAAGGCGGGUCUCUGGGCCGAUACUGACGCUGAGGAGCGAAAGCGUGGGGAGCAAACAGG
rnacentral:rRNA from 1 species